UACCUCACUCGUGUUGCUGUGGGUAAGGGCGGGAGAGGGGGCGUAUUACAUAAUUAAUCCUUCCAACUUCACUUUCCGCAGCUCUAUCUCCAACCCACUGUUCUCACGUUUCUGUUUUGUUUUUAUAUGGAGGAGGUGACAAAAUAAUGCUGGUGUGUGGGUUUGUGUUGCUCGAAGGAUUUCAAGGACCAGAACAGGAUUGCUGCUCUCUGAGCAGUUUGAAAUUAUUUCCUCUGGGGGUGCCAAUGGAGACCUGAAGAAGAGGUUUGAAAAAUUACUUCUGAUGCAUAUUUUAAGGACAUAGCCAGCUCAGAUGCUUCAUCAGUAACAGAUUAUGAUAGAUCUGGGGUUUUGAAUUUUGGUCCCUUGCAGCCUAUUUUAAUAUCUUUCAAUUAGAGUUUGUCCUCGGCUGACCUCUGGAAUACUGACAUACCAUGAAGUACUGCCAAAAAAACAGGAGGUCUCUGGGCACACAGGAGGCAGAAAUAUUCCUGGGGGUGGGGUAAUGAAAAUAGAGAAUGUGAAUUAGAGAGUAGAGAGCAAAACUAUUCUCCUGACCCAUGGUAAUGAGGAGGUGGGGCCAAGAAAAUUAAACAAACAAACUUCUCGCUUUUACUUGAAUGACCCUCACAAAUUCUUGCUCAGACACAGAUCAGUAGGUAUGCAAUAGAUUCAGGAGUUUGUAAGAGAUCGCCAAAAAGUAAGAAACCUGGGGAAGCAGAAGGUGUGUGGUAUGCUGAAAUGUCAAGUGACAAUGACAGUAUGCCAUGUAGGGCACAAUGGUACCAUAUGAAACGAUUUCGGAAUAUGAGAGUAUGUUAUAGACAUGCAUGCCAUACAGCUUGAGACUGGACCUCUGUGAGAUACUUUGCAGAGCCGUUUGAUCGUUCAGUUUUUCACAAGCUUCUGAUUUCCCCCUAUUCCUUUCAGCUCACAUAUAUUUUAACAUCUUGGGUUCUUUCAUUAGCUCCAUAGCACUGCUAAUUUUUUCAAUGAUCACCCUCACCUCCUUUGUUUAUAUAGUAGAAUUUAAUUUCACACCUUCCAGGUGUGAUGCUCAAAUAACGACAGAAGUGGAAGCAGGACAUCUCCCCUUUUCUUUGGGACAUUCACAGAGCUCUCAAGGGUCUUAAAACCCUUCAAACAUGAAAACCCUUAUAGUUAUUGCAGAAUAUUCUAAAGCUACCCUCAAAGUCUUGGGCUAUGGACAUCUUUCUCAUCAAGUUCUUCAAUUUCUAGGUGGAGGGAUAAGGGAAUAAUAAUCUGCAGUUUAAAUUUUAAUGUCUCUGCAAUCUUUGUCACAAUGUUUUUCGCUGCUAUGUCGUGAGUAUCUGGUGGUUAGUGAGAGCAUGGAUUUUUAGUCAACAUGCAUUUGGACUAACCUGCACAGUUUUAGUGCGUCUUUUCUAUUUUCAGGUGAUAUACACAGCUUAACUUAGCCUAAUUCAAUAUUUUAAAAUAAACUGGUGUUCUAUAUAGAGAUAAAGAAUUAGAUUUUUGCAAAACUACUCCAUAACAUAUUUUCCAGUUUUCUCUGACAGCUGGGUUUGUAUUUCUGGUACAGCUCAAUCACUCUUUAGUCAGCUAAAUGAGGCAUCAGAUUUUCAAAAGCACUCGGCAACCAGCAAAACUCGCAGGCAGAGAUUUAAUAUAUCCUUCCCUCUUCUGCUUCAGAUACUGCAUGAAUUACUCUGGCACCUAUUCUUGUCCUCCUCCACCUCUUUGUCAACACAGAUGAUACCUGACUGCUCAUCCUUGAACGUGGUGCUGAUGUUUUACAGAUACUAGGAAAACCUUCCGGUCUUAUAGUUUCCAUCAUGAGGAUGAAUGUUUUGGUCCUGAACUCCCUUGGGAAUCUGCCAGAUGGUUGGCGUCUUCACUCCUUUUAUGUUCUAUAUGUGACUGAGGAAACUACUUUGAAAACACACACCAUUUGCUCUAAUCUUCUUUCUUCCAAAGGGAAAAUGGAACACUACCUACUUCAGUGUGGAAACAACAAUAAUAGAAUGGAUGGGUUUAACAAGAAGGAUAUUUCAGAUACACUCAAAAUGAUUUGUUUGAUUAUUCUGGAUUUAAUUUGUUCUACUCUCCAAAACAAGAUGACACAGUCUUCUUUACAGAUCUCACUAAGCGUGAACCAGCUCUGGGGUCUCCCUUUACUCAAGAUGAAAAGCUCAGCAUAUCUAGGAAAAGGUUCACAGCCUGAGGUCUGAGGCUUCAGCACAUCUAGCUACUAAUGGUAAUAUUAGUCACUGAGCAUUUUGACAAGAUUAAAGAGUUAAAAAUGUAGAAGAGAAACAGAGAAGUGAAGGAAGAGCCAGCUUCUUGGUGAGUUAAUGGUGACCCACAGGAUAUUUCCUCUUCCUGCUUAGAAUUCACUUAGCUUUUAAGGUUGUUAAGUGGUAUUUGUACAAUAAGUUGUGUCUUUUAAAGCAAAGAAUUUACACAAGCUUAAACACUUCAGAAGGAACCUUUGCAGAUCUAGUUGUCUCUUCUGUUUAGCUUUUUCAAGAGAAAGCAAGCAGGAAAACAGCAUUGGUAUCCGGAGGGGACCUAUCACUUGAGGUAGCCUGGACUGGGAUACAUAUAGGUACAAAAAUUUGAGGACAGCUUUUACGCCUUCAGGUUCAAGGAUGAGUGAAGAUUUAACUUUGCAGCACUCUAUGUCAUCUUUUAUAGGACUAAUGGAGACAGAAAAGACAGUCUUACUGAUAAAAUUGCACUUGAAAUGUCUACUAGUUGACUUAAGGUCCAUAAAUGGAAUAUAUGUUUCUGGUAGUUUCAGUAGGUGGUACAACUAUUCCUAUGAGACUAGGACUAGGAUUUGCUUCUCCCAAUUUAUUAAGAGUUCUAAGAGAGCAGGACCUUGACCAUAAACCUGUACAGUUUAAUGGAACAAUUUUUAUUGGUUUUAAUGUACCUUACUUCAGUGCACUGCAGACAGCAUAACAGAAAUCUCCAAUAGGAAAGUUGAAAUGUAGUGCAGAGUCUACUUAUUAGGUACAGAAAAAUGUAUCUUCUUUCCUGGGUGUGUAAGAUGCAAUUUAGAAAUUAGUGUUCAUACGAACAUCUCAGAAAUUAAGAGAAUAUUUAAGACUCUUCAACUUUUAACAUUCCAUUUAUGGAAUCACACAGAAUAUCUUGAGGCUGGAAGAAAAGACUGUCUAGGCUAACCCCUGCUCCUGAACCAUAGUCAGUUAGAGCAGAUUGCUUGGUGUUCAAUCAGGUUUUGAACAUCUCCAAAGAGAGAAUAUCCAAAUAUAUUCAAGAAUUACACAACAUAGUUGGGCACUCUGUUCCUGUAUUUGACCUACAGUAAAAAAAGAGGGGGUUUAUAUUUAAACAGAAUUUUCUGGAAUUGAAUUUAUGCCUCUUACACAACUGAUAAUAGGUUGACUUUGUUUUCUUUAUUCAGACAUUCAUACCCAUCAAUUAGAUCCUCCCUGAACCUUCUUUUUUAAGAUCUCUCAGCCUCUCCUCAUAGGAAAGGUACUUCAGUCCCUUUAUCAUCUUAAUGGCCCUUUACUGGACUUUCUCCAGCAUGUCCGUAUAAUUCUUGUGCUGGGGAGUCCAGAGCUGAACACCUAUCCCAGAUGUGAUGUCACCAGUGCAGAGUAUAGGGUAAUAACUUCCUUGAUCUGGGAACACAUUUCUUACUGCAUUCAGAGAUGCUGUUGGUCUUAUUUGCAUCAAGGGCACAUUGCUGACUCACCUUCAACUUUCCCUUGAGGACUCCUACAUCACUUUUUUAUGCAACACUGCUUCCUGGCUUUGGUAUAUGAGGUUAUUCUUUUUCAUGUACAGGAUGCUGCAUUUCCCUCAACAGGUGUAUCAAUCAGUCCUCCCAAUUUUGUAUCAUCUGCAAAAUUGCUAAGGGUGCACUCUGCCCCACCAUCCACCUCAUUAUUGAAAAUGUUAAGUUGUAUUCUACACGAGAUAGAUAGCGUCAUUUAUCAUUUUCAGGCACUGCAGUGAAGAAUGAUAGGGGACAGAAGCACGUUUUCCAUAGCAAGUAGUAUUUCAGCAAAUCUAGCGUAGUUUUUACUGACAAAUACAUCUUCUGUAGUGACAGAAUUCUCUUGGGAUCAGUCUCAUAAAUAAGAGCACGUUCCCCUCUGAAAAAAAAACCAAAUCAACAAACUAGUGGGUGCAGGGCAAAGAAACUGUGACAAAGAACUGACUUUGCAGAAAACUGGGAGUCAACAACAACUACUCCAGGCAACUGAUGUCCUCUGCCAACUUAUGUACCUACACCAAAAAUAUAUAAAAAAAUAAAUAAUUGCUUAUGUAAAAUUAAUUUCCCUUCAAAAGCUUCAGUGC